rnacentral:lncRNA from 11 species
AGGUGAAAUUUAAGUGUAAAAUGUAUUCUACAUCCAUCUUCUCAACUGCCUCUUUUGUUGACAUCUACACAUGGUGGCAAGAGUCUGAAGGUGGCUCCAGUCAUUCAGAGACUCACAUCAUUCAGAGACUGAUUUUCCGAGGUAACAGAUGGCAUGGAGUUAAGGAGGUUCUCCCUUUCGGACUGUCACUCUUCCAGCUCUAACCCUGUAGGAAGCCAGUGUGAAGACAAGGAUUUGAAUCCAAGCUUAGCCAUGGAAAACCUUCAGGUGGCUAUGCAUACAUUCAGGCCACAUUCAUAAGAUGAGAGAUGAUGACAGAAAUUUGAACUGGAAUUCAAAUUUACAGCCAGGCUCAACAAUAUAUCCCUUUGGUAUCAGUUCUUUACUAUUGACUGGUAUUGAAAUCACAGCAUUGGAGUCCAACUUGAAAACUGCACAAUGAAAAAUAAGCAAACAAAGAGGAAAAGGUUAACUAUGUCAUACUUGGACAACUCAUCUGAAUACUUAUAUUCUAGUUGUCUGCCUUUGAUGGACUGCAUCUUCUCUUUCCCUGAUGGAUGUGCAAGAUCAUUAACAUUAUUUAAAGUUAUGGGAAUCAAAGAUAGCCAUUUACUCUUACCGGUGAACACCAAGGACACCCUUUAUGAUUCUCAGGAACUCUGCAGAAAACAUGAAUUUGUUUCCAGUCGGGCAUUUCUGUAA